ACUCAAAGGAAUUGACGGGGGCCCGCACAAGCAGCGGAGCGUGUGGUUUAAUUCGACGCAACACGCAGAACCUUACCCAGACUGGACAUGCUACUGCGAGCCGGUGAAAGCCGGAAGCCUUCGAGGGAGUAGCACAGAUGCUGCAUGGCUGUCGUCAGCUCGUGUCGUGAGAUGUUGGGUUCAGUCCCGCAACGAGCGCAACCCCCGCGGUCAGUUAUAUGUGUCUGGCCGGACAGCCCUUCGGGGAGGAAGGUGGGGAUGAUGUCAAGUCCGCAUGGCUCUUACGUCUGGGGCAACACACACGCUACAAUGGUCGGCGCAGUGCGCAGCGACCUGGUAACAGGGAGCAAAUCGCGAAGGCCGAUCUCAGUGCAGAUCGGGGGCUGAAACUCGCCCCCGUGAAGGCGGAGUUGCUAGUAACCGCGUAUCAGCGAUGGCGCGGUGAAUACGUACCCGGGCCUUGUACACACCGCCCGU
rnacentral:rRNA from 1 species